rnacentral:rRNA from 1 species
AUUGAACGCUGGCGGCAUGCCUUACACAUGCAAGUCGAACGGUAACAGGUCUUCGGAUGCUGACGAGUGGCGAACGGGUGAGUAAUACAUCGGAACGUGCCUAGUAGUGGGGGAUAACUACUCGAAAGAGUGGCUAAUACCGCAUGAGAUCUACGGAUGAAAGCAGGGGAUCGCAAGACCUUGUGCUACUAGAGCGGCCGAUGGCAGAUUAGGUAGUUGGUGGGAUAAAAGCUUACCAAGCCGACGAUCUGUAGCUGGUCUGAGAGGACGAUCAGCCACACUGGGACUGAGACACGGCCCAGACUCCUACGGGAGGCAGCAGCGGGGAAUUUUGGACAAUGGGCGCAAGCCUGAUCCAGCAAUGCCGCGUGCAGGAUGAAGGCCUUCGGGUUGUAAACUGCUUUUGUACGGAACGAAAAGCCCUGGGUUAAUGCCCUGGGGUCAUGACGGUACCGUAAGAAUAAGCACCGGCUAACUACGUGCCAGCCGCCGCCGUAAAAC